CAGCAGCCGCGGGAAUACGUAGGUCCCGAGCGUUGUCCGGAUUUAUUGGGCGUAAAGCGAGCGCAGGCGGUUAGAUAAGUCUGAAGUUAAAGGCUGUGGCUUAACCAUAGUACGCUUUGGAAACUGUUUAACUUGAGUGCAAGGGGGAGAGUGGAAUUCCAUGUGUAGCGGUGAAAUGCGUAGAUAUAUGGAGGAACACCGGUGGCGAAAGCGGCUCUCUGGCUUGUAACUGACGCUGAGGCUCGAAAGCGUGGGGAGCAAACAGGAUUAGAUACCCGCGUAGUCCCUGUCUCUUAUACAC
rnacentral:rRNA from 1 species